GAUGAACGCUGGCGGCGUGCCUAAUACAUGCAAGUCGAGCGAACAGACGAGGAGCUUGCUCCUCUGCCGUUAGCGGCGGACGGGUGAGUAACACGUGGAUAACCUACCUAUAAGACUGGGAUAACUUCGGGAAACCGGAGCUAAUACCGGAUAAUAUAUUGAACCGCAUGGUUCAAUAGUGAAAGACGGUUUUGCUGUCACUUAUAGAUGGAUCCGCGCCGCAUUAGCUAGUUGGUAAGGUAACGGCUUACCAAGGCAACGAUGCGUAGCCGACCUGAGAGGGUGAUCGGCCACACUGGAACUGAGACACGGUCCAGACUCCUACGGGAGGCAGCAGUAGGGAAUCUUCCGCAAUGGGCGAAAGCCUGACGGAGCAACGCCGCGUGAGUGAUGAAGGUCUUCGGAUCGUAAAACUCUUUUAUUAGGGAAGAACAAAUGUGUAAGUAACUAUGCACGUCUUGACGGUACCUAAUCAGAAAGCCACGGCUAACUACGUG
rnacentral:rRNA from 1 species